rnacentral:rRNA from 1 species
CGCGUAGGCGGCCUGCUAAGUCUGAAGUGAAAGUCCUGCUUUCAAGGUGGGAAGUGCUUUGGAUACUGGUGGGCUGGAGUGCAGGAGAGGAAAACGGAAUUACCGGUGUAGCGGUGAAAUGCGUAGAGAUCGGUAGGAACACCAGUGGCGAAGGCGGCUUUCUGGACUGAAACUGACGCUGAGGCGCGAAAGCGUGGGGAGCAAACA